AGGACUCCACGCCUCCACUGCGCCGCCAGCUCUCCCCCGGCACCACACCCGGCAGGAGGUGGGUGCUGGUGGAAACCGAGGCGACCAGCCCCCCUCCCCAGCCAAACCAUGAUCGCAUCCUCAAGCGAAUCUACAAGCUCGCAGAGCUGGAGGUAGUCGAUGUCGAGGAAGGCGAACUUUUGGAGCAGGGGCACUAUCUUAGAAAAAAAGGAAAAUUCUCUUGCGACAAGUCCUCGUUUAUGCUCCUUAAGGACGACUAUUGUAGCUUCAGGAGUAGGGAGCUUUCCUGAACUUGGUAGCACAGGAAGGAAAACUUGGUAGUACAGGAGGGAGCUUUCCUGAACCAUCCUCUCUUCUAAGUGGUAUGGAUAAAGUUGCCUUCUUCAUAAGCCAAAUAAUGCAUAUUCUUGAAUGACAGACUCUGUUCCUUUGUUAGCAUUUCCUUGGAUCAAAAUCAUAGUUAUCAUAUAUACUUUGGCUCGUACACAAUUUUGUGGGUGGCAACCUUUGAGUAUUUCAUACUAUGCACCAAUAUGUUUCCCUCAAUAGAACUUAAUUGUACCAAUCUGCAAUGGUGUUUCCUUGUAGAAGGUAAAUGUAAGAAAUUGACUGCAUUCCUGUCUGGUUGCUUUCAAUAAAGGAUGAAUUAUGAAUAUGAAUCUUCCAAAGUUUGUUAAUUAAAUUGAUUAUAGUUCCAACCAAAAGCUUUUUUUAUCCUCACUUGCUACUUUGAUUCUCGGUGCUUUCUGAUGUGCCAUCAUUUAUUUAUUUCGAAGUCUUGAUUUUUUCUGAAUGUGAAGGUUCAAAAUAUUAACUGCUUGAAAUGAGGUGGCCAUUUCAUCAAGAGAUUUCACACUGGCAAAAAUAUGCUUACUGGACAACUGUUGUCUAAUUUCUGUGACCUUAUUUAGUUUCAGUUUGUGUUGUCUGCGGCACAGACACUCAUUUCAAAGGCAGGGCUGCGUCAACGAUGCGCGUCAAUAAUUAGGCUGAUGGAAAUAGCAAACUUUGGGCGCGGUCUCCUCGAUCCUGUAGCAUCUUCGCUCUCUGGCCAUUACUUGUGCUCCUUUUGCUAGUUCCUUCAUUUUUCAUAUGCUAGUCUACAAUUUGUCAUUGUCACAGUGUUUGCAAUUUUGUUUCUGCAGGUCAUGCUCAACUUUUUCACCCUCUUUUUUGGUGUAUGCACAGUGAUGAUCUUAGAUGAGAUCGAUGCCCUUGAGAGUUUGAGAGUGCAGGUAUACAUUACAUGAGCCUGACAAAGAGUAGAUGGAUACAGACACAUGCCAAACAUAUACACACGGGUCCUCACCGUGACGAAGAGAAGAGAAGCCCCACCAGGGAAGAGUUGAUUCACUGGUAACCCGGUAUUAGGGAACCUUCUAAACCUGUGUCCAGCUUAGUGCCAAGGCGAAGGGAAACCCCAAUCACCAAGAUGGCGGAGAAGCUUCUGUAUUGUCGUCUUGGCAUCAUAGAAGAGGGUGUUCCAAGGCCAUCUACCAUCCAUUGCCAUCGAUGCAUUGCGCGCCCUCUUCCAACUUGACUCUGACCUCUCCACGACCAUUGAAGAUGCUCCUGUUGCUCAUGGAGUGAUCUGGACCACCAAAGGCACGCAGAUGACUGUGGUUUCCGUUGUGGUCAAGUUCCCUGAUCGUAGCUUAGUCUUCUGUGAGAUGUGUGUUGAGAUACUGCUUGCUGUACCAACCAGCAGUCUGCUUCUCGUGAUGUUCCCCUUGCUGUACCAACCAGCAGUUUGUUUACCCUGUUGGGCAACUGUAGGGGUUGUGAAAUGUAGGUAACGUCUCUAAAUGAUGACUAUGAUGUUUAUGAAUGCUGACUAUGAUGUUUAUAUGCUGAUACGAUGCAAAUUAGUUGUUUCUUUAGUUUA